rnacentral:rRNA from 1 species
AACGAACGCUGGCGGCAGGCCUAACACAUGCAAGUCGAACGGGACCUUCGGGUCUAGUGGCGGACGGGUGAGUAACGCGUGGGAACGUGCCCUUUGGUUCGGAAUAGCCCCGGGAAACUGGGAGUAAUACCGGAUAAGCCCUACGGGGGAAAGAUUUAUCGCCAAAGGAUCGGCCCGCGUUGGGUCAGGUAGUUGGUGAGGUAAUGGCUAACGAAGCCGACGAUCCAUAGCUGGUUUGAGAGGAUGAUCAGUCACACUGGGACUGAGACACGGCCCAGACUCCUACGGGAGGCAGCAGUGGGGAAUCUUAGACAAUGGGGGAAACCCUGAUCUAGCCAUGCCGCGUGAUCGAUGAAGGCCUUAGGGUUGUAAAGAUCUUUCAGUGGGGAAGAUAAUGACUGUACCCACAGAAGAAGCCCCGGCUAACUCCGUGCCAGCAGCCGCCGUAAGAC